AGAACAACGAAAAACAAUUCAAUUUUUUUUCACAGAUAUUUAUACCUGCAAGGCCCAAGACUCAUGGCGAAAAUAAAACCACAAGCACUUUUGCUGCAAAGCAAAAAGAAGAAAGGGCCAAGUGGAAUUAGUGUCCCUACGAUUAUUCUAUAUGGCUUAAUUGUUGCUGUAAUGGUGUUUUUCCUGUUUGCUACUUAUAGACACUGGUCUCGAAGGUCAAUGAUUCAGACACGGGAUGAAUUGUCAACCACUGAGGAUGAAAAUACGUUUAUUGAGCAUAAGAGAUCUGAUGUCAAUGGCCCUACAUAUGCUUCCAUAACCACCUCAAAAGGAUUGAUAAUUGUGGAACUUUACAAGGAUGGUUCUCUUGACAUUGUUGACGAAUUUGUUGAUUUCUGUCAGAAGGGCCACUUCAAGGGGAUGCGAUUUAAUCGUGUUAUAAAGCACUUUGUAAUCCAUGGUAGUAAAGUUGAUAAACCUGAAGGUACAGAAGAUUGGACUUCGAGGGGAAAGCAUUACAGUCGACUGGACACAAGCCUGAAGCACGAAGCAUUUAUGCUUGGUACUUCAAAAACAAAUCAUGAAGGCGAAGGAUUUGAUCUGUUUAUAACAACUGCACCAAUUCCAGAUCUGAAUGACAAGAUCAAUGUAUUUGGGCGUGUAAUAAAGGGAGAGGAUAUCGUGCAGGAAAUUGAAGAGGUAGAUACCGAUGACCAUUAUCGACCCAAAACUCCCGUUCAGAUCAACGAAGUGACUCUGAAAUACAGUACUUGAAGGUUGCAGUGUCCAUAACAUGAAGUUUUUUUUAAACCUCAUUGAACGGCGUCUGCAGCACAAAUGUUUACUUGGGGUCUGGAUUGGAAACCAUCAUUUGCUGAUUUUAAAUCCUCAAUAUUGACAUGACACGACUUGCUAUCGAUGAUUCUGGUGUAAAAAUCUGGAUAUAAUAUUCCAUUUGUAUAAUUUUUUUU
rnacentral:misc_RNA from 1 species